GCGGCAGCGCCACUGGGGCAAGUGGGUGGCGGAGAUCCGCCUCCCCAAGAACCGUACGAGGCUGUGGCUCGGCACCUUCGACACCGCCGAGGACGCCGCGCUCGCCUACGACAAGGCCGCCUUCCGCCUCCGCGGCGACCUGGCCCGCCUCAACUUCCCGUCGCUCCGACGCGGCGGCGCCCACCUGGCCGGCCCGCUCCACGCCUCCGUCGACGCCAAGCUCACCGCCAUCUGCCAGUCGCUCGCCGCGCCCUCGUCCAAGAACUCCGCCGAGGCGGAGCCGGAGCCGGAGUCCCCCAAGUGCUCCGCGUCCACGGAGGGAGAGGACUCGGU
rnacentral:lncRNA from 1 species